ACAAACUUGGUCAUUUAGAGGAAGUAAAAGUCGUAACAAGGUUUCCGUAGGUGAACCUGCGGAAGGAUCAUUAAAGAGGGGGAAGAGGGGGAAGAGUGCGGUAUGUCUGUGUGUGUGUGUGCGAGGGGUGUCUGCUUUGCGGCGGAUAGCCUGUGCGCCAUGCAUGGACGUGCCGGUGGCUUGCGCCCGCGAGGGUGCAAGAGUGGGGUGGCAGUGGUGUGGGGGUAGAGUGGUGGAUGGUGGGGUGGUAGAGUGGAGUAGUGGGCAAUGGGUGUCUUGCGGCACUGCACAUUGGACACUGCACACUCUGCGCUAGCACACUCUGCGCUAGCACACUAUCACCGCUAUACCUCCAUUCACACGCCCCAGAAAACAUGCAGCUUGGACUAAAGUACACACACAUUACAUCUUUUAACAAUGGAUCUCUGGGCUCCUGCAUCGAUGAAGAACGCAGC
rnacentral:misc_RNA from 1 species